GCAGCAAUGGCCAAGUGGUUAAGGUGUUGGACUUGAAAUCCAGUGGGGUCUCCUUGUGCAGAUUCGUACCUGGCUCGCUGCA
rfam:Ovis aries breed Texel chromosome 8, whole genome shotgun sequence.